GAUCUGUUUAAUCCCACGCUAUCGCAAGCUUUCGCGGAUGGAGGGCAAGAGGGGAAAGGAGGGGGUCUAGUCCGCAUCCUUCCCUUCCUCCUCCCACCCCCACCCCGCCUGAGCCACCUGACCCGUCUCAAAGUUGCCGGGCUGCGGCGCGCAUGGCCUUUGUGCGCGCGGAGCAGCGGCCUGGAACCUGGAGCCUGAGCCAACUGGACUGUGUCGCCCCACCUUCGUGCCCCUUCCUCUCCCUCACGUACCCAGGAGCUAACAAAUAAAUAAAUCCACAAAU
rnacentral:lncRNA from 1 species